rnacentral:tRNA from 1 species
GGAAAUGUGACUCAAGCGGUAGCGAGCUCGCCUGGCAUGCGCGGGGCGCUGGGUUCGAUCCUCAGCACCA